rfam:Cavia porcellus supercont2_160 genomic scaffold, whole genome shotgun sequence.
GGGGAUUUAGCUCAGCGGCAUAAGCGCCUGCCUUGCAAGCAGGCAGUCCUGAGUUCGAUCCCCG